ensembl:lncRNA
CAAUGAUAGGAGAUAUAUCCAUGUAUAUGAAUAUGUAUAUGAGCACUUUGAAAACACUAAUCUGAUAUACAUGCAGUUAUUGUUAUAAUUUUUCAGGGCUUGAGGAACCCAGGCUCUUCUUUAUUAAAGAUUCCGGAUGUAUCUCUCUUAUUUAGUAGCUAGCAGGCCUAGAAGAGGCUCUUUGAAAACAAUAGCAUCAUGUUCCAGGUGGAAAGUGGAUACAGCUGACUUUUUAAAUGGGGGAGGAGAACCCUCCUUUGAAGCCUGUUGCCCUAUCAGGGAUUCAGUUAUAAUGCAAAGCUGGGAUUUGCAUAGGACUAUCUUUAUUGGUGAAGAUUGAGUGUUUGGUACUCUGUGUCUUCAUGAGGGAUGGAAUUAACAGGGAGAGAUCUUAGUCUUCUGGCUUCUAGCUUUAAGAAAGGGACUCAUGAGUCCAGAUUCUUUCCUCAGAAUGGUCCCUCAAGGGAGAAAGAGGAACCCUGGGAAGAGCAGGCACCUCAGCCAUGUUUGCAUGCCACACUAGAUAUUUGGGGGGAAUUUCCCCUUGGAUGAGACCUCAGUGCAUGCUCUCUCUCUCUCUCUCUUCUCUCUUCUCUCUCUCUCCUCUCUCUCUCUCUCUCUCUCUCUUCUCUCUUCUUCUCUCUCUUCUCUCUUCUCUCUUUCUCUCUCUCCUCUCUUUCUCUCUCUUCUCUCUCUCUCUCUCCUCUCUCUCUCUCUCCUCUCCCCCCCCCCCUCUCUCUCUCUCUGUCACGCUCUCUCACUCUCAUCUCCUUCCCAAGUAGGAAAACUCAUUCAUUCUUUUUACAUUGUUUCAUACAGUAUUUACUGUAUAAUUUCCCUUAUUUUUGUUUGCUCUUGCCUAGGAUAAAUGGCUUAUUUACCCUUCAAUAUAUGUGCCUUACCAUGGUAUUGACCCUGUUCCCUUCUAUCCUCCCUCCUAUUCCUUUCCCUGUCUCCAGUUUCUUCUCCUCCCUCUCUUUUUCUUUUCCUAGUUCUUUCCUUUCUCCUCCUUCUUCUCUCUGACUCUUGACCUCUUUCUUAUUCUCUACCUCCUCUCCUCUCUCCUUUCUUCCCACUUCUACUCUCCCUUCUCCCGCCCUCCUUCCUAACUAUUAUUUCUCUCUCCCCUUCUGUCUUUCCCUUUUUUAGAUUACUGUUACUUCCCAAAGGCCUCCUGCCAAGUAGAAUACGCUCUUGUAUUAAGCAAAACAAAUCCACGCCAUGGGUGAUAUCUGCAAAUGUAUGCCUCAUUCCUUACCUCUAGUCUGCCACCUCUCUUCAGAAGGAUCUGAAGUGGGUCUUCCCUAUUCUGCCUAAAGAUUAUUCUCCUUGGUUCAGAAGACAGACUGACUGACAGCAGCAACUGAAUUCUCCUUUAUUCUUGGUUUUCUUUUGACAUGGAACUCCCCCCCCCCCUUAGGAGCAGCCCAUUUUGUUUCUUUUCCCUCUUGCUCCAGACAUGGCUAAAACAAAUAGUUUAUUAAAAGUUCUUUUUGGUGUCCUUUCACAAUUUUUAAGCCUACAUUCUUUCUGGGAUUUUACCUUUUUUGACACCUAUCU